CAAUUUUUUUUGGGGGGGUUUUCCCCCGACGUCCACAUCUACCGGUGGGUCACAUCCCCGUUUUGUCACUUUUUGUCCCUUUUUGUCAUUUUUUGUCCCUUUUUGUCCCUUUUUGUUACUUUUUGUCACUUUUUGUCAUUUUUUGUCACUUUUGGUCACUUUUCUCCCCAAACUCAAUUUAUUUUUGGGGUUUUUUUCCCCAACGUUCACAUCUACCGGUGGGUGACAUCCCCGUUUUGUCCCUUUUUCUCCCUUUUUCUCCCUUUUUCUCCCUUUUUCUCCCUUUUUCUCCCUUUUUAUCACUUUUUUCCCCCAAACUCACCUUUUUUUUGUUUUUUUUUCCCCCAGAUUGAUCAGCGAGCGCACGGUGGAGGAGAACAUCCUAAAAAAAGCCAACCAGAAGAGGAUGCUCGGGGACAUGGCCAUCGAGGGGGGCAACUUCACCACCGCCUACUUCAAGCAGCAAACCAUCCGGGAGCUCUUCGACAUGGCGCCCGAGCGGGACGGGGACACCAAGGAGAGGGACAAGGACAAGGACAAGGACAAGGACAAGGACAAGGACAAGGACAAGGACAAGGACAGGGACAGGGACAGGGACAGGGACAGGGACAGGGAUGGGCCGCAGGAGGAGGACGAGGACCCCGCGGCCACCCGGCGAACGCACAUCCUGGAGCAGGUCAGAUGCGUGUCCCCAGUGUGUCCCCAACGCGUCCCCAAAGUGUCCCCAACGCGUCCCCAACGUGUCCCCAACGUGUCCCCAAUAUGUCCCCAAUGUGUCCCCAACGUGUCCCCAAUGUGUCCCCAACGUGUCCCCAACGUGUCCCCAACCUGUCCCCAAAGUGUCCCCAACGUGUCCCCAACGCGUCCCCAAUGUGUCCCCAACAAUGUCCCCAAUGACGUUCCCAAUGAUGUCCCCAACGUGUCCCCAAUGACAAUCCCAAAAAUAUCCCCAAGAUGUCCCCAGCCAUAUCCCCAGUGAUGUCCCCAAGAUGUCCCCAACCAUGUCCCCAACGUGUCCCUGAUGACAUUCCCAACAAUAUUCCCAACCAUGUCCCCAAGAUGUCCCCAAGAUGUCCCCAAUGACGUCCCCAAUGACAUUCCCAACCAUAUCCCCAACAAUAUCCCCAACCAUGUCCCCAACGAUGUCCCCAAGAUGUCCCCAACGAUGUCCCCAACGUCUCUUCAACGUGUCCCCAGCCAUGUCCCCAAUGAUGUUCCCAAUAGUAUCUCCAAUGAUGUCCCCAAAAUGCCCCCAUUGUGUCCCCAAGAUGUCCCCAACCAUGUCCCCAAUGAUGUCCCCAACACUUCCCCAAGAUGUCCCCAUUAUGUCCCCAACGCGUCCCCAACGUGUCCCUGAUGACAUUCCUAACAAUAUUCCCAACGAUGUCCCCAAACAUGUCCCCAAUGACAUUCCCAAAAAUACCCCAUAAUGUCCCCAACCAUAUCGCCAACAAUGUCCCCAACGUGUCCCCAAUGACGUUCCCAACCGUGUCCCCAACGUGUCCUCGAUGACAUUCCUAACAAUAUUCCCAACCAUGUCCCCAAGAUGUCCCCAAGAUGUCCCCAAUGACAUUCUCAACCAUGUUCCCAACAAUAUUCCCAACGAUGUCCCCAACCAUGUCCCCAACGAUGUCCCCAAUGACAAUCCCAACCAUAUCCCCAACAAUGUCCCCAACAACGUCCCCAACGAUGUCUUCGUGUCCCCAACGAUGACCCCAACGUCUCCCCAACGUGUCCCCAACCAUGUCCCCAGUGACCUUCCCAACAG
rnacentral:lncRNA from 1 species